GCGGGAGUAGCUCAACUGGUAGAGCACCAGCCUUCCAAGCUGGAUGUCGCGGGUUCGAGCCCCGUCUCCCGCUC
rnacentral:tRNA from 1 species